GACCUAGUGGUGGAAUGAACCACACCCUCUCUCAAUGCAUUCAUCCAAAUUCCCAUAUGAUGUUCAUUGGGAGCUCUCGGUUCGACUCCGGGCUAGGUCA